AUGAUGUGGCAGGAGGGGUUUGUGGCUGGGCUGUGGCUGGGCUAUUGCUAUUGUGGAUGCUCUUACUAAUCUAAAGUGCCGGUUUGGUAAAAAGACAAUGUUAUCCUUUUUGGAGAGAAAUGAGAAGCUGAUUGUAUAAUUAUUUUUUUCUAUUUUUUUACAAAUGUUGGCAUUAUACGGUUUACAAAAAAUGCUCAAUUAAAGCAAGGCUCUCAAAGAACAUUGCAAUAUUUAUAAAUAGGCUCGUGGUGAUUCUGGCCGUAAUCCGGCGAUGCUCCGGUAGACUCAACGGGAUAAAGGUGGAUUCUUUAGAUCUAUCCAUUUCUGGAACCUUACAACAAAAAUGGAGAAUUGUAGCUGAAUAAUAUAGAUCAACCAUUGAUUCAAAACAAAAACCAAACUUACCAAGACAGUCAAGGCCGAUCCCGACUCGCGACGGCAAGCUACUCCGGCGGCGGCUGGACUUCUGGGCGAGGAAGGGAGAAGUACAACGGCAGCGCAGGCUACCUGGCUGUGCAGACCCACCAAAAUCCUCUGCAAAAGCCCCUAUUUAACAGCGGCUGCGAUUAAAUAUGAAGAAGACGAUGGAUUAUAUGAAAUUAGGUUAUUGAGGUGUAUCUGUAUGGGCUUGAUAGUUGUGGGCUUCAAUUAUAUUUAGUUAUGAUCUUCUAAAUAAUUAGUAAAAAAUUAAGAUAUUUAAUGCUGAAAAAUUAAGGUAUUUAA